rnacentral:rRNA from 1 species
AUUGAACGCUGGCGGCGUGCCUAACACAUGCAAGUCGAGCGGUAACAGGUGUAGCAAUACAUGCUGACGAGCGGCGGACGGGUGAGUAGCGCUUGGGAAUCUGCCUGUUAGUGGGGGACAACCCGGGGAAACUCGGGCUAAUACCGCAUACGCACUACGGUGGAAAGCCGGGGACCGCAAGGCCUGGCGCUAACAGAUGAGCCCAAGUCGGAUUAGCUAGUUGGUAGGGUAACGGCCUACCAAGGCGACGAUCCGUAACUGGUCUGAGAGGACGACCAGUCACACCGGAACUGAGACACGGUCCGGACUCCUACGGGAGGCAGCAGUGGGGAAUAUUGGACAAUGGGCGAAAGCCUGAUCCAGCGACGCCGCGUGGGUGAAGAAGGCCUGCGGGUUGUAAAGCCCUUUCGGUGGGAAGAAAAGCCUGAGUUAAUACCUCGGGUCUUGACGUAACCCAUAGAAGAAGCACCGGCUAACUCUGUGCCAG